rnacentral:rRNA from 1 species
GACGAACGCUGGCGGCGUGCCUAAUACAUGCAAGUAGAACGCUGAAGGAGGAGCUUGCUUCUCUGGAUGAGUUGCGAACGGGUGAGUAACGCGUAGGUAACCUGCCUGGUAGCGGAGGAUAACUAUUGGAAACGAUAGCUAAUACCGCAUAAUAGCAGUUAUUGCAUGAUAACUGUUUGAAAGGUGCAAUUGCACCACUACCAGAUGGACCUGCGUUGUAUUAGCUAGUUGGUGGGGUAACGGCUCACCAAGGCGACGAUACAUAGCCGACCUGAGAGGGUGAUCGGCCACACUGGGACUGAGACACGGCCCAGACUCCUACGGGAGGCAGCAGUAGGGAAUCUUCGGCAAUGGACGGAAGUCUGACCGAGCAACGCCGCGUGAGUGAAGAAGGUUUUCGGAUCGUAAAGCUCUGUUGUAAGAGAAGAACGAGUGUGAGAGUGGAAAGUUCACACUGUGACGGUAGCUUACCAGAAAGGGACGGCUAACUACGUG